UACAGAGGGGGCAAGCGUUAUUCGGAAUUAUUGGGCGUAAAGGGCGCGUAGGCGGCUUGGCAAGUGGAUGGUGAAAUCCCUCGGCUUAACCGAGGAACUGCCGUCCAAACUGCUUCGCUUGAGACCGGGAGAGGUGAGUGGAAUUCCCAGUGUAGCGGUGAAAUGCGUAGAUAUUGGGAGGAACACCAGUGGCGAAGGCGGCUCACUGGACCGGUACUGACGCUGAUGCGCGAAAGCGUGGGGAGCAAACGGA
rnacentral:rRNA from 1 species